AUCAGCACUCAGGAUUUAGGUCGAAGUUUACUUAUAUCUGAAACUGAGCGCUGAUAAUUGGUUAGUGGCAAACGGGUGAGUAACGCGUAGGUAUCUACCCCUGGGUGGGGAUAGCCCGCCGAAAGGCGGAUUAAUCCCGCAUAGUCUCUUCGGAGUAAAGGCGCAAGUCGCCGAGGGAGGAACCUGCGUCCUAUCAGCUAGUUGGUGAGGUAAUGGCUCACCAAGGCGAUGACGGGUAGCUGGACUGAGAGGUUGUCCAGCCACAAUGGGACUGAGGUACGGCCCAUACACCUACGGGUGGCAAGCAACCGGGAAUCUUCCGCAAUGGACGAAAGUCUGACGGAGCGACGCCGCGUGGAGGAUGAAGGCCUUCGGGUUGUAAACUCCUUUCGGCCCCUCAUAUGAGGGGCAAAAGAAGCACCUGCUAACUACGUGCCAGAAGCCUCGGUAAUACGUAGGGUGCAAGCGUUAUCCGGAUUCACUGGGCGUAAAGCGUUUCGUAGGCGGAUUAUUAAGUCGUUAGUGAAAGCCUCCGGCUCAACCGGAGAAAGUCUGGCGAAACUGAUAAUCUGGAAUCUCAUAGGGGAGGCUGGAACUGUUGGUGUAGCAGUGAAAUGCGUUGAUAUCAACAGGAACACCGAGGGCGAAGGCAAGCCUCUGGGUGAGUAUUGACGCUGAGGAACGACAGCUAGGGGAGCGAAAGGGAUUAGAGACCCCUGUAGUCCUAGCCGUAAACUAUGCCUGCUAGAUGCCUUGAUCAUUUUGAUUGUGGGUGUCGUAAGCUAACGCGUUAAGCAGGCCGCCUGGGGAGUACGACCGCAAGGUUAAAACUCAAAGGAAUUGACGGGGGAGCGCACAACCAGUGGAGCGUGUGGUUUAAUUCGAUACAAAGCGAAGAACCUUACCUGGGUUUGACAUGGAUCCGUAUGUUUUCUCAGAAAUGAGAAUUCCUUCAGGAUUCACAGCUGCUGCAUGGCUGUCGUCAGCUCGUGCCGUGGGGUGUCGGCUUCAGUGCCGUAACGAGCGCAACCCCUGUCCUAUGUUAGAUAUACAUAGGAGACUGCCCCGCGCAGAGCGGGGAGGAAGGCGGGGAUGAUGUCAAGUCAGCAUGGCGCUUAUAUCCAGGGCUACACACACCCUACAAUGGGACGGACAAUGGGUUGCCAAACCGCGAGGUGGAGCUAAUCCCGCAAACCGUCCCUCAGUUGGGAUUGCAGGCUGCAACUCGCCUGCAUGUACUUGGGAUUGGUAGUAAUCGCGGAUCAGCAGGCCGCGGUGAAUACGUUCUCACUCCUUGUACACACCGCCCGUCAAGCCAGCAAAGUUGGCAGCACCCGAAGUUCACGUUUAUCGUGGCCGAAGGUGAGGUCAGCGAUGAGGACUAAGUCGUAACAAGG
rnacentral:rRNA from 1 species